rnacentral:rRNA from 1 species
GAUUAACGCUAGCGGCAGGCCUAAUACAUGCAAGUCGAACGGUAAUAGUGUAGCAAUACAUUAUGAGAGUGGCGCACGGGUGAGUAACGCGUAUGCAACCUACCUUUAACUGGGGGAUAGCCUUCCGAAAGGAAGAUUAAUACCGCAUAAAAUUAUGAAGUGGCAUCACUUUAUAAUCAAAACUCCGGUGGUUAAAGAUGGCAUGCGUGACAUUAGCUAGUUGGGAGGUAACGGCUCACCAAGGCGACGAUGUCUAGGGGUCUGAGAGGAUGA